rnacentral:rRNA from 1 species
GACGUAGGGCGCGAGCGUUGUCCGGAUUUAUUGGGCGUAAAGAGCUCGUAGGCGGCUUAGUAAGUCGGGUGUGAAAACCCCAGGCUCAACCUGGGGACGCCACCCGAUACUGCUAUAGCUAGAGUCCAGUAGGGGAGUGUGGAAUUCCCAGUGUAGCGGUGAAAUGCGCAGAUAUUGGGAGGAACACCAGCGGCGAAGGCGGCACUCUGGGCUGGUACUGACGCUGAGGAGCGAAAGCGUGGGUAGCGAACAGG